rnacentral:rRNA from 1 species
CCUACGGGUGGCAGCAGUCGAGAAUCAUUCACAAUGGGGGAAACCCUGAUGGUGCGACGCCGCGUGGGGGAAUGAAGGUCUUCGGAUUGUAAACCCCUGUCAUGUGGGAGCAAAUUAAAAAGAUAGUACCACAAGAGGAAGAGACGGCUAACUCUGUGCCAGCAGCCGCGGUAAUACAGAGGUCUCAAGCGUUGUUCGGAAUCACUGGGCGUAAAGCGUGCGUAGGCUGUUUCGUAAGUCGUGUGUGAAAGGCGGGGGCUCAACCCGCGGACGGCACAUGAUACUGCGAGACUAGAGUAAUGGAGGGGGAACCGGAAUGUUCGGUGUAGCAGUGAAAUGCGUAGAUAUCGAGAGGAACACUCGUGGCGAAGGCGGGUUCCUGGACAUUAACUGACGCUGAGGCACGAAGGCCAGGGGAGCGAAAGGGAUUAGAUACCCUGGUAGUC